AUGGCAAAGCUGGUGGAGCUUAACCACGACGACUACUUUGUAGACCAGCUUGGGGAGAAGGCUGAAACUAACGUGAGAUGCAGCUACUACCCACAGUGUCCAAGGCCAGAGCUUGUAUUUGGUCUCAAGCCUCACUGCGAUGGAACUGUUCUUACAAUUCUCAUGGUCGAUGACAACGUCGGUGGCCUUCAAGUUCUAAGAGAUGGGGUGUGGUGGGAUGUACCGAUCAUACCUCGCACCCUCCUGGUCAUUAUAGGAGAUCAGACUGAGAUAAUGAGCAAUGGGUUCUUCAAGAGCCCUGUGCAUAGGGUCGUGACAAAUGCAAAGAAAGAGAGGCUAUCAGUGGCUCUAGACUACUCUGUUGACCACGAGAGAGAAAUCGAGCCAUCGCCUCAGCUGAUUAAUGAGAAGAGACCAGCAUUGUAUAGGAAAGUUAAGGUCAAGGACUAUAUUGCUGGGCUCUAUGAACAUUUCUCCCAAGGGACAAUGGUUAUUGAUACAUUGCAGAUAUAA
rnacentral:rRNA from 1 species